CCGACGGUGAGGGGCGAAAGCUGGGGGCACGAACCGGAUUAGAUACCCGGGUAGUCCCAGCCGUAAACGAUGCUCGCUAGGUGUCUGGGAUGGUGCGACCGUUUCAGGUGCCGCAGGGAAGCCGUGAAGCGAGCCACCUGGGAAGUACGGCCGCAAGGCUGAAACUUAAAGGAAUCGGCGGGGGAGCACUACAACGGGUGGAGCCUGCGGUUUAAUUGGACUCAACGCCGGAAAACUCACCUGGGGC
rnacentral:rRNA from 1 species